UACGAAGGGGGCUAGCGUUGUUCGGAUUUACUGGGCGUAAAGGGCGCGUAGGCGGCCUAAACAGUCAGGUGUGAAAGCCCUGGGCUCAACCCGGGAACUGCACUUGAUACUGCUAGGCUUGAGGACCGGAGAGGAUGGUGGAAUUCCCAGUGUAGAGGUGAAAUUCGUAGAUAUUGGGAAGAACACCGGUGGCGAAGGCGGCCAUCUGGACGGUAUCUGACGCUGAGGCGCGAAAGCGUGGGGAGCAAACAGG
rnacentral:rRNA from 1 species